UUCCUUGAACCGCAUGGUUCAAGGAUGAAAGAAGCGGUUUCGGCUGUACACUUACAGAUGGACCCGCGGCGCAUUAGCUAGUUGGUGGGGUAAUGGCUCACCAAGGCGACGAUGCUGUAGCCGACCUGAGAGGGUGAUCGGCCACACUGGGUACUGAGACACGGCCCAGACUCCUACGGGAGGCAGCAGUAGGGAAUCUUCCGCAAUGGACGAAAGUCUGACGGAGCAACGCCGCGUGACGUGAUGAAGGUUUUCGGAUCGUAAAGCUCUGUUGUUAGGGAAGAACAAGUGCGAGAGUAACUGCUCGCACCUUGACGGUACCUAACCAGAAAGCCACGGCUAACUACGUGCCAGCAGCCGCGGUAAUACGUAGGGGCAAGUCCCGUUGUCCGGGAAUUAUUGGGCGUAAAGGGCUCGCAGGCGGUUUCUUAAGUCUGAUGUGAAAGCCCCGGCUCAACCGGGGGAGGGUCAUUGGAAACUGGGAACUUGAGUGCAGAAGAGGGAGAGUGGAAUUCCACGUGGUAGCGGGUGAAAUGCGUAAGAGAGUGUGGAAGGAAACACCAGGUGCCGAAGGGCAACUCUCUGGUCUGUACUGACCGCU
rnacentral:rRNA from 1 species